rnacentral:rRNA from 1 species
UACGUAGGGAGCGAGCGUUGUCCGGAUUCAUUGGGCGUAAAGAGCUCGUAGGCGGCUUGAUAAGUCGGAUGUGAAACCUCCAGGCUCAACCUGGAGUCGCCAUCCGAUACUGUCAUGGCUAGAGUCCGGUAGGGGCCCACGGAAUUCCUGGUGUAGCAGUGAAAUGCGCAGAUAUCAGGAGGAACACCGGUGGCGAAGGCGGUGGGCUGGGCCGGCACUGACGCUGGAGGAGCGAAAGCGUGGGGAGCGAACAGG